UGUAGUUGAGCAUCACCUGUGUGAUCAUGAGAAGGCUGAAGAACCAGGGGUGACAAGAUAUCACCGGCUGCUGGGGUGCAGCAUUAAACCCAGGGACAGACAUUUUGGAAAUGAAAAGUCUCCUGCCACAAGAUCUUAGGAGCCAGAGCAGAGCCAGAC